rnacentral:lncRNA from 1 species
AGACUGAUGUGGAAAAUAAUUAUGAGGCCAUAAAUGGGGCGAGAUGUAUAGUCGCUUCUUUCUUUCUUUUUUAGGGUACAUACUUUUAAUUCAUUACAACGGAGGAGGAGGGGAGAUUUUUGCUAUGUAAAGGCCAUAUAAUAUCAUCCAAACGGGAGUUUUUUUGCCUCGGUAACUCGAGAGUUUUUUUUUUAUUAUUC